CAAAGGAGCCUACCUGACACUUCCUGCCCGUCUCGCUUGUUUUGGCAGUGAUAGCUGUGUGUCUCUGCCAUGUUUGUGUACAUCUCUCGCGAAUGUCUUUACAUUUAUAAACAUAUAAUAUAGCUCUGACGCUCUGGAAUAAUAACCUGACGUGCUGUAUUGGAUUAUAUGCGCAGUUGAGCUCGUUUAAUGGAUGACUGGAGGCAAAACGUGAUUGCUUCUUCUCAUUGAUCCAGGAUCAUACAGUGCGGAGAUAUAAGGAAUGGAAGAUUUGUCAUAUGUGGGGUCUGGCUGAGGGCCGCUGUUGCCCGGGCAUCUGCACCCCAUUGGCUGAUUCUCCAGCAUGUACCGUAGAAACGGCCUAUCAGAUGGCACCAGCAUUAGCUCCGCCUCCUCUGAGAGCCAAAUUACCCUGAUGGACGCCCCUGUGUUUAAGGC
rnacentral:lncRNA from 1 species